UCCUCCGUGGCGCAAUUGGCUAGCGCGUCUGACUGUUAUAAAGCAAAUCAGGAGGUUGACAGUUCAAGCCUGUCCGGGGGAG